AUUGAACGCUGCCGGCACGCCUAACACAUGCAAGUCGAACGAGUGGCGGACGGGUGAGUAAUGCCUGGGAAACUGCCUGAUGGAGGGGGAUAACUACUGGAAACGGUAGCUAAUACCGCAUCCCAUCGGAUGUGCCUACAUGGGAUUAGCUAGUAGGUUGGGCAAAGGAUCACCUAGGCGACGAUCCCUAGCUGGUCUGAGAGGAUGACCCGCCACAGUUGACCUGAGACACGGUCCAGACUGCUACGUUAGGGAGCAUUGGGGAAUAUUGCACAUUGGGCUCAAGACGUAUGCAGCCAUGCCGCGUGUAUGAAUGAGGCCUUCGGGUUGUAAAGGACUUUCAGCGGUGAUGCGUUACCCGCAGAGGAGGCACCGGCUAACUCCGUGCCAGCAGCCGCGGUGAUUC
rnacentral:rRNA from 1 species